UUUGAACGUUCGAUCUCAAAU
rnacentral:rRNA from 1 species